UUAUUUUAAACAUUCAAAAUCAUAUAAAAAAAUACAAACACACACACACACACCCAUCUCUUUUUACUAUAUUUCACUCACACACACCCACAACUAUCAAUUUACAAAUAAUCAAAAUUCAAAAUAAUUCAAACAACACAUUUAACAAUUGUAAAAAUUCACAAAUCAAUUUGCUGAGAAUUCUGGAAUAGUACUAGGAGUCCUCUGAGUUGCAUGAAUAGUGGCAACAUGUCUGUUCCAUAAGCUACUGUCACUUGUGACGCAUGAAACCACGCGCCGUUACUAGGAAAGGCUGGAGAUUGAUGGUCACUACUACCAAAAAUGAAAGAGGUAACGGCUGGAGUAAACGGGGUUGUUGGUUGGUGGCUGGAGAAGGGUGGAUCCACAGUGGAAGAAGAAGCAGCCGCUGGUUAUGGUGAGGAUAUGCUGUAAAGGACGUCGUUACUGGGAGGAGGAGAAGUCGCUGCUUUACUGGCAUAGCUGUGAUGUGUCGGCCAAGAGAGGGUCCGGUUUGGAAGGGUCUACUUUCAGUGGAGAAGAAGAAGGGAAAUGACGUUGGGCAGUGAGGUAUUAGGUUGGAAAUGGGGUUUGGUCCAUGGUGGUAGUGAUGAUUGAGAAGAGAAAGGAAGGAGAUGUUGUGGGUGGUUUUGGUUUGAAGUUGUAGAUGCUGACUUGAGGAGCUGGCGUUCACUGUGGCUGAGGGAAAAACUCUGGUGCUGCUGCUGUCACAGUCGUCUAUGGUAGCAACGAGGAGGAACCUUUAGGCUGAUCUUGAUGUUGAGGCUGGUCUAUCGUGAGAAUGGUUUAUAGGUUAUGAUGGUGAGAGAGGUUGAAGAGGAUGCUGAAGCCUUAUGGUCGAAUGUUGUGCUGCGUGAUGAAUGGGUAGUGGGUGGUGGUUGUCUUGGCAAUAGAGAGGGAAGUCUAGUGGUGGUCUGAUAUGAAAGAGGUAGUAGGUGGAAGAGCUGAGGUAUAUGGUGAAUGACAUUUUUGCUUGGUUUGGACAUGCAGCUGUAGUGAUGGGGAAGAGGCAAUGAAAGGGGCAAAAAUCGUUUCCCAGGGUUGACGACAGCUAGUCGAGGUUUUUUUAGGUUUAAGGUUUUUUUUUUUAUUGUAUUGUACUGUGGAGGUGUGGGGAAAAUAUUUGUGAAUAUCUUCUUUUUUUUUUUCUUUUUUUUCAAAUUUCUCUUCUUUUUUUAUAUGUGUAACCACUAAAAUUUUGUUAUUU